UACGUAGGGUGCAAGCGUUGUCCGGAAUCAUUGGGCGUAAAGAGCUCGUAGGUGGUUUGUCGCGUUGUUCGUGAAAACUCACAGCUCAACUGUGGGCGUGCGGGCGAUACGGGCAGACUGGAGUACUGCAGGGGAGACUGGAAUUCCUGGUGUAGCGGUGGAAUGCGCAGAUAUCAGGAGGAACACCGGUGGCGAAGGCGGGUCUCUGGGCCGAUACUGACGCUGAGGAGCGAAAGCGUGGGGAGCGAACAGG
rnacentral:rRNA from 1 species